rnacentral:rRNA from 15 species
CACAAGGGGAGCCCAAAGCGGUUGCAAAAAAUCGGUGGCUGCGACUGUUUAAUAAAAACACAGCACUCUGCAAACACGAAAGUGGACGUAUAGGGUGUGACGCCUGCCCGGUGCUGGAAGAUUAAAUGAUGGGGUGCAAGCUCUUGAUUGAAGUCCCAGUAAACGGCGGCCGUAACAAUAACGGUCCUAAGGUAGCGAAAUUCCUUGUCGGGUAAGUUCCGACCUGCACGAAUGGCGUAACGACUUCCCCGCUGUCUCAACCGCGAACUCGGCGAAAUUGCACUACGAGUAAAGAUGCUCGUUACGCGCAGCAGGACGGAAAGACCCCGGGACCUUCACUAUAGCUUGGUAUUGGUGUUCGGGACGGCUUGUGUAGGAUAGGUGGGAGACUGUGAAGCGGUCACGCUAGUGAUGGUGGAGUCAACGUUGAAAUACCACUCUGGUCGUUCUGGAUGUCUAACUUCGGUCCGUGAUCCGGAUCAGGGACAGUGCCUGGUGGGUAGUUUAACUGGGGCGGUUGCCUCCUAAAGAGUAACGGAGGCGCCCAAAGGUUCCCUCAGCCUGGUUGGCAAUCAGGUGUUGAGUGUAAGUGCACAAGGGAGCUUGACUGUGAGACAGACAUGUCGAGCAGGGACGAAAGUCGGGACUAGUGAUCCGGCAGUGGCUUGUGGAAGCGCUGUCGCUCAACGGAUAAAAGGUACCCCGGGGAUAACAGGCUGAUCUUGCCCAAGAGUCCAUAUCGACGGCAUGGUUUGGCACCUCGAUGUCGGCUCGUCGCAUCCUGGGGCUGGAGUAGGUCCCAAGGGUUGGGCUGUUCGCCCAUUAAAGCGGUACGCGAGCUGGGUUUAGAACGUCGUGAGACAGUUCGGUCCCUAUCUGCCGUGGACGUUUGAGAUUUGAGAGGGGCUGCUCCUAGUACGAGAGGACCGGAGUGGACGAACCUCUGGUGUUCCGGUUGUCACGCCAGUGGCAUCGCCGGGUAGCUAUGUUCGGAAUAGAUAACCGCUGAAAGCAUCUAAGCGGGAAACUAGCCUCAAGAUGAGAUCUCACUGGAACCUUGAGUUCCCUGAAGGGCCGUCGAAGACUACGACGUUGAUAGGUUGGAUGUGGAAGCAUAGUGAUAUGUGAAGCUGACCAAUACUAAUUGCUCGU